ACUCCUACGGGAGGCAGCAGUGGGGAAUUUUACGCAAUGGGGGAAACCCUGACGUAGCGACACCGCGUGAGCGAAGAAGCCCUUUGGGGUGUAAAGCUCUGUCAGCUGGAACGAAAACAAUGACGGUACCAGCAGAGGAAGCAUCGGCUAACUACGUGCCAGCAGCCGCGGUAAGACGUAGGAUGCGAGCGUUGUCCGGAUUUAUUGGGCGUAAAGAGUUCGUAGGUGGUUUGUUAAGUUUGGUGUUAAAGAUCGGGGCUCAACCCUGGGACUGCACUGAAUACUGGCAGACUCGAGUGUGGUAGAGGCUAGUGGAAUUCCCAGUGUAGCGGUGAAAUGCGUAGAUAUUGGGAAGAACACCGGUGGCGUAGGCGACUAGCUGGGCCAUAACUGACGCUGAGGAACGAAAGCCAGGGGAGCGAAUGGGAUUAGAAACCCGAGUAUCCCAUGAU
rnacentral:rRNA from 1 species